rnacentral:rRNA from 1 species
GAUGAACGCUGGCGGCGUGCUUAACACAUGCAAGUCGAACGGAAAGGCCCCUGCUUGCAGGGGUACUCGAGUGGCGAACGGGUGAGUAACACGUGGGUUCUCUGCCCUGCACUUCGGGAUAAGCCUGGGAAACUGGGUCUAAUACCGGAUAGGACCACAUUCUGGAUGGUGGGGUGGAGAGUUUUUCGGUGUGGGGUGAGAUCGCGGCCUAUCAGCUUGUUGGUGGGGUAAUGGCCUACCAAGGCGUCGACGGGUAGCCGGCCUGAGAGGCUGUCCGGACACAUUGGGACUGAGAUACGGCCCAGACUCCUACGGGAGGCAGCAGUGGGGAAUAGUGUACAAUGGGCGGAAGCCUGAUGCAGCGACGCCGCGUGGGGGAUGACGGCAUUCGGGUUGUAUAGUACUUUCGCUAUGGACGAAGCGCUAGUGACGGUACCUGGAGAAGAAGCACCGGCUAACUACGUG